rnacentral:rRNA from 1 species
UACAGAGGUCCCAAGCGUUGUUCGGAUUUACUGGGCGUAAAGGGCGCGUAGGCGGUCAGCACAAGUCAGUUGUGAAAUCUCCGGGCUUAACCCGGAAAGGUCAACUGAUACUGUGCGACUAGAGUGCGGAAGGGGCAACUGGAAUUCUCGGUGUAGCGGUGAAAUGCGUAGAUAUCGAGAGGAACACCUGCGGCGAAGGCGGGUUGCUGGGCCGACACUGACGCUGAUGCGCGAAAGCCAGGGGAGCGAACGGG